CUGCUCCCCAGUGUGACAUCACAAAGACAGAACCAACUACAGUCACCUCUGCUACCUCAGCAUGGGCUGGAGCCUUUCAUGGAACAGUAGACAUAGUGCCCAGCGUGGGAUUCGAUACAGAUCUCCAGGUGUGCCUAAAGAAUCUUGGGGAUGUGUCUUCUGAAGCUAAAGAGACCCCUAAGCAUCCUGCAAAGUCUUCUCCUUUAAGAAACAACAUGAGGAUUCCCAGGCAAGAUGGCCAAAUAGGAACAGCUCCUGUCUGCAGCUCCCAGGGAGAACAAUGCAGAAGGCAGGUGAUUUCUGCAUUUCUAGCUCAGUGUAAACAAAGCCACCUGGAAGUUUGGAUUGGGCGGAGCCUACCAGAGCUGGGCAAAGCCUCUGUAGCCAGACUGCCUCUCUAGAUUCCUCCUCUCUGGGUAGGGAAUCUCUGAAAGAAAGGCGGCAGCCCCAGUCAGGGGCUUAUAGAUAAAACUCCCAUUUCUCAAAGACAGAGCACCUGGGGAAAGGGGCGGCUGUGGGCUCAGCUUCAGCAGACUUAAAUGUUCCUGCCUGCUGGCUCUGAAGAGAGCAGUGGAUCUCCCAGCACAAUGCUCGGCUCAAGCUCUGCUAAGGGACAUUCUGCCUUCUCAGGUGGGUCCCUGACCCCAUGUCUCCUGACAGGGAGACACCUCCCAGCAGAGGUUGACAGACACCUCAUACAGGAGAGCUCCGGCUGGCAUCUGGCAGGUGCCCCUCUGGGACAAAGUUUCCAGAGGAAGGAGCAGGCAGCAAUCUUUGCUGUUCUACAGCCUCUGCUGGUGAUACCCAGGCAAAGAGGAUCUGGAGUGGAUGCCUUAGCAAACUCUAGCAAACCUGCAGAAGAGGGGCCUGACUGUUAGAAGGAAAACUAACCAAUAGAAAGCAAUAGCAUCAAAAUCAACAAAAAGGAUGACCCCACAAAAACUCCAUACUAAGGUCACCAACAUCAAAGACCAAAGGUAGAUAC
rnacentral:lncRNA from 10 species